rnacentral:lncRNA from 1 species
GAAAGAUCUGGUGGUGAGAAGAUGGGGAAGUUCAAGUCUGCAGAGAAAUAUGCUAAGAAGCAAAUGACUGAAAUAGAAGGAAAAACUGUGUAUUUCAGCUUUUUGAUUCCAUCCAACUCCAAAGAAACAAAGUUCUCAUGACAGGCCUUUUAUCUUCUCAGAGUUCAGUGCUAAAGACACAUGCCCAAUUCAGCUGAAGACUUGCGGUUUCACUCUGGAGAGACAUUUUGUGCUAAGGAUUACUAGACUCAGUGGUACUAGAGAAAUUGUAUUGAAAGGAGGGGGACUAAAGAAAAUGAGAUGUCAGCGACAGGCUUCGUUCACCCUAGCAGAUGUGGAGGAUUUCUCUCUAACGAUCCAAGAGAAAAGCCACACAGCUACUAGCUGUUUAGGGGACCACAACAAAACGUCCCAUCUGGAUCACCCAUCGCACAGUGAAGCCUACCAAUUGGGAAGUCCAACUCACCAUUAUUCACAAUAGCCAAGACGCAGAAGCAACCCAAGUGCCCAUUGACUGAUGAGUGGAUAAAGAAGACGUGGCUAACUUCUUUACCUUGUGGAGAAAGAUGAAGCCAGCAUUGCAGAGGAACCACAGGAACCAAAUCCUUAAUAAUUAUACUGUAAAUAUGCGUGCCCGUCUCUCAAAGACGCCAAGCAGUAUUUGUGUUAGUUUGCUCAGUGAUCGCAAACGAGAAGCAGCAUCUGCCAAUCUUACGUUUCAAGGUUUACAUCACAGGUGGAAGGUGUGCGUAAUCUGUGGGAAACUACAUAAAUUCAAUCGUUCUCACAAACGAAAAACAUUUUUAUGCUGUGAAAGGAAUCCUUUUUCUGAAACUCGUGCUACAGUUUUCCCAGGUAUUUUCUUGUGUUGUGGUUUACUCUUGCCUCAAAAAUAAAACCCAAAGAAGCAGAAGAAAAGCAGUUUAUGUUCGUGGGUGACAUUUACCCUAUAUGACAGUGCUCCUUUCACUAAGAUUGCAGGCAGCCUUCACAGCGUUAGAUCGAUAUGGAAACUAAUUCAAAUGUUUUUGCGGUUGAAGUCAAAAAGUCAAGUUUAGUGAUACAAAUAAAACAAUGAACUCUAAUUCUAUGCAAAGAGAAGAUAUAUUCUAAU